AGUGAACGCUGGCGGUAGGCCUAACACAUGCAAGUCGAACGGCAGCACAGUAAGAGCUUGCUCUUACGGGUGGCGAGUGGCGGACGGGUGAGGAAUACAUCGGAAUCUACUUUUUCGUGGGGGAUAACGUAGGGAAACUUACGCUGAUACCGCAUACGACCUACGGGUGAAAGCAGGGGAUCUUCGGACCUUGCGCGAUUGAAUGAGCCGAUGUCGGAUUAGCUAGUUGGCGGGGUAAAGGCCCACCAAGGCGACGAUCCGUAGCUGGUCUGAGAGGAGGAUCAGCCACACUGGAACUGAGACACGGUCCAGACUCCUACGGGAGGCAGCAGUGGGGAAUAUUGGACAAUGGGCGCAAGCCUGAUCCAGCCAUACCGCGUGGGUGAAGAAGGCCUUCGGGUUGUAAAGCCCUUUUGUUGGGAAAGAAAAGCAGCAGGUUAAUACCCCGCUGUUCUGACGGUACCCAAAGAAUAAGCACCGGCUAACUUCGUG
rnacentral:rRNA from 1 species